rnacentral:lncRNA from 1 species
CCGGGGGUUCCCGGCCUGGCCGGGUAGCAGCGCGGGGGCGGCCCUGAGGCAGGGAGACAGGGGGCGGCUCCCCUCCGGCGCUCUGCGGAGGACAGCAGCGAUCGCCAAGGCUCAGCUGGAGUGCAGUGGCAUGGUGGCAUGAUCUUGGCUCACUGCAACUGCUGCAUCCUGGGCUCAACUGAUUCUUCUGCCUCAGCCUCCUGAGUAGCUGGGACUACAGGCACA